GGAAGAGAAAAUAGGAACACCCGGCAAGGUGGCUCCUGCAUCAACAAUAUAAAUGUUGCCAGAGACAUAUUCAGAAGAGUCAUGUACCAAAUAUCGAACUAGCGAUGUCAAUGCUGGAUCUGAAGUGCCAAAUGUUCUUAAAGGGGCAGUUUUCAUAGCCACAUUGUGCAGCCAGUCUUUUUCCAUUAGACGCUCCGUAAUUUCCGAUCUGAAAAGUCCAGGUGAUAUUGCAUUCACUCUGAUUUUGUGUACCCCCAGCUCCAUAGCCAUAGUCUGGUUAACAUAACAAGAUUCAGUAUAGUACCAUAGAAGCUUUCACCUACACUACCAAGUGCAGAGAACUACAGAACAUAUUCCUUAAGAGAAUACUCAUAAUCAAAUAUAGAUAAUGAAACUUAUGAGAGAAGAAGAGAAGAAGAAAAGAAUAAGCAAAGGUAGUGUCGGUGACAUGACAAAGUUGAGGAUAAAAUCUUAAAAUGGCAACUGAUAAACCAGCAGUUAAAAUGUAAAACUUCGUUUGAAGUUAGAUCAUCAAUUCAUAUGUCAUUCCCAGAAAUCCUCCGGUGCAACAAAAAGCAAAAUGUGGUUGAGUGCAAUAACACGUUGGUCAAAACAGUCUGUUGGUUAUACGACAAUAGAGCCGCUCAGACCAUGAGCUUGUGAUAACCACAGCCUUGCGUCAACACACUUUAUUGACAGAUGAUAACAGCACAUGAAGAUGACAAGCAUUUUGGCAAUCAGACUUAGAACUAACGAACUAAAGAGACCAAGAAUCAAAACCGGCUUAUAAUGGGGGUGAUAGAAUUUGGGUCAACGGGCCGAGGGCCCCACUCCAACAACAUUGAUAUUGUCCCCAACUUGGUAAUUACCACCUGUCCAAUCCAUCAGGUGUAGGGUUUUAUCACAAAAGGUCUCGGUACUAGUUAGAGUGGGGGUAAUCAUAUUUAAACUCUUUUCUUUCUUCUUUCUCUCACCUAUGUGGGAUAGCCAACAGGGGCAUAAGAGAAAGUACACAGUAUAGCCCACUAGCAAUAUUCCUCUACUAGACUAAAAAAGAACUGAAAUACUCCUAGGCUGAUUUAAGUCCCUAAGUCUAUCUUUCCCAGGAAACUGUUAUUGGCACUCCAAAAAAGUCAUCUCGUACAAUUUCUGCCUUAUGUUUCCCAGGAGGCAGGCAUCCCUUCAAGUUCUUAUAUUUCAUUUAAAGGCCAAAAGGAACAAAAACAUAAUUCCUUUUCCUUACGCAAUUAAUAUGAUUUUCCUGAUUAGCAUGUUAAAGAUAAUACCUUUGUUAAGGUGUUUACACCAGCCUUUGAACAAUUGUAUGCUGUAGCUCCAGGCAAAUAUCCACGAUUAAGACCAGCAAUGGAAGAUAUAUUGACGAUUGACCCUCCCUGAUCAGCAUCUCGCAUGCGUAUAGCAACAAACUUUGAUACCAACCAGGAACCCGUUAAAUUUGUCCUGAAAACAUGAUUCCAUUCCUCCUCAGACAGGUCCAAUGCAGAACUCACAUUACCUAAGAAACACAGAUGGUAGUAAGCAUUUAUGAUACACCAACACAGACCUAUAGACCAACUAGUUGCGUGUGCCUGUGAGGUCAACAAUUGGUGAUUGGUACAAGACAGGAAUCAGGAUUGGGACUGAGUCUAGUCCAGUCCGAAUCCGAUAGUCCCACCCGCACCCCCUGUGGAGGUAAGAGGUAGAGAGCACAUGAUGAUGUUGUAUACAAUACUUGGGACAGUAGUCCAAUUCAAUAGUCGAGUAUCGUCAUUGUUAAGUUCAUGAACUGAAAGAACAGUCAAAUAAGUAAUUUGCAUUACCAAACAUAUAAUUGUAAAACAAAGGUAUAUUUGUUAAUUCCCCCCUCCCCUAACUAACUUGUAUAGAGCUGCAAAUUUCUUCCUCAACUUUAAUUUUUGACAAUUACCCUCCUGAAAUUCUCUAAUUAGCCAAUUUUCUCUUUGAAUUUUAAUGCCAAUUAGCCCAUGAACUUUUAUAAAUAGUCAAUUUCUCUAGAUUUUAAAAAAUUCUCAUCCAAUUUUUCAUCUAUUUUGAUCACGUGUAGAAGACGUGACAACUCUAUGAGAGCAAAAAGAAUGGAAAACUAACAACAACAACAACAACAAAAUUUUUUCCCACUAAGUGAGGUCGGCUAUAUAAAUCCUAGAACGUCAUUGCGCUGGGUUCUAUGUCAUGUACUCCAUUAGAUCCAAGUACUCUAAGUCUUUUCUUAGGUCUCUUCCAAAGUUUUCCUAGAUCUUCCUCUACCCCUCAGCUAGAUGAAUGAAAAUUUUAAAAUCUAACCCUAAGCGAAAUUGGCUAUUUAUAAAAUUAGAAAGGGCUAAAGUUAAAUUCAGAAAGAAAUUUGCUAAUUACAAAAGCUUAAGAAGUAAUCAGGAAUAAAUUUGAGGACAAUCCGACAAAUACCUCUAAAACAAAUAAUAUAAAAGGCAGAAAGCCAGCCAAACCAACCUCUACCGGCAUUGUUAACAAGGGCAUCGAUGAGCCCAAACGCGUCCCAAGCCUUGUUCACAGACUUCUCGAUAGCUGGGCCAUCGGCGCUGACAUCCAGCUCCACGGCCACAGCCCUCGGGCCUCCACCAGUCCCACUAUCAGCAACAGAAGAUGAUGAAGAAGGAGCGGUGAUGGAGAGCUGGUUGAUUUGAUCGCACACGGACUGAAGGCGGUCGAUGCGGCGAGCGGCGGCUACGAUUCUGCAGCCGGCUUUAGCUAAGUCUAAGCACAACUCGCGGCCGAGGCCAGAGGAAGCGCCGGUAACCAUGACGACUUUGCCGUGGAGGUGGCUCCAGGGCUCCAGGUUGUCCGACAAUCGAUGAGGAUUCUCCAUGUUUGAUAAUCUGUACUCAACUAUGAGCUAUGAAUUAUAUAGAACAAGGAAGAAGAGACUUACAUGUGAAUGUGUGAUACUGCGAAAUCUUGACCGUUGGUGGCUUCGAUAUGGACGGUCAUGAUUUGGGGUGAUAUAUUUGUAGUUGCUGGACGAAAGCAUGUUUGGUGAGGUAGUCGGCUUGACUUGACCCACUUCGAUUAUAGGAACGGAAAGAGAUGAUAUAUUUGCAGUUGCUGGACAAAAGCACGUUUGGUGGGGUAGUCGGCUUGACUUACCCACUUUGAUGAUAGAAACUGAAAGAGAUCCGUCCGGAUCUCUUUCGCCAAGCUUACCAGAUCAAGUGAUCCAAAAUUUUGAAUUUUCAUCUAAUAGUAAAAAAUUAUUAUAGUUUUUAAGGGAUCAAAAUAGGUGGAUCGUUGAGAAAAAUAAUAUUGGAUGAGAUUAUUCAAAACCCUAUAAUAUAGAAGUUGGCCUCAUCAUCUAGUCCUUCUUGUACGUCGGAUUAUAUUGUCAUUCCUUUUACGGGGCAAGAGAUUUGACAUUUAUGGAUUAAUCAACUACGCUUCUAAACUAGGUUGGACAAACACUCCGAAACCCAAAGCGUCGGAGUGUCGAACAUUCUGACACGCCGACGCGCCUCCAACACAAGUUGAACAUGGUCAAGACACUGGUCAAGGGGCAGGGGCAUUUUUAUAAAUUGAAAAAUAUUUUGAGUCAGUUUUGAAAACAUAAAAACAUUGAAAGAUUUGGGGCAAUUUGGAAAUACAAAAACUAAAGCCUAAAGCCAACCCGUCCUAACCCAACUUCAAUCUCUUAUAUGCGCCUCCUUUCACUUCUCUUCUUCCUCUCUUCGCAACCGAUGCAGCCUCUUCUCUACGGCCUCCACUCCAGUUGCAUUCUAUUUUAGUUGGUUGUUUAAUUUGUUAUUGAGCAUAAAUAUAUAUCUCUUCUUGUUUUUUUUUUUAAAGGGAACAAUUAGUGACAAGUCACGGUUAUACACGUCUUUCGGGAGCCGAAAAGACUCACAUAGUCAUUUCAGCUUCUUCUUGUUUUAAUUAUUAUACUUGUUUUGUUUUAAUUAUUAUACUUGUAUUGUUUUAAUUAUUAUGUUUUGUGUUAUUUUAGUUAUUAUGUAUAAUGAAUGAAUUUGAUAAACACGAUUAUUUUGUUAUAUUAUAAUCCACUAUUAUUUUUAAUAUAUGCAAUAUUUACUAUAAAUUUAGGGGUGUGAUAUCUACACAUCCCUUUUUACUUUUCCCACACAUUUUUUGUUUUCUGUCAUCGGAUGUGAUAAUUGAAGAAAAUCAACGGACAUAAAUUAAUAAGGAGUGUGUGAGAAGUAAAAAGGGGUGUGCCACACACCCCUAAAUUUAUUAUAUUUUAAACAAUGUGUCCAUGUCCUAUUUUUUAAGAUUUGCCAUGUUCCUGUCGCAGUGUCGUUGUAUCCGUGUCCAUAUCCGUGCAACCUUGUAAUAGUGUAGGAUAACUAUUUUGGAGUGGGAAAUGUUUUGCCACUUUAUCCCUUUCAAACUUAAACUUGAAUUUUAACCAUUGCUUGUUAUUGACUAACAUUUUGGGAAUUCCAACUGGAUCAUCAGCUUCUAGACUCUGUAAGCCUCCACCUCCCCAAAGGAAGAAAUGGCAAACAAGUGAGUUCGAGUAUGUAGUGCAGCUACAUCAACACUUGAGCACAACAAACGUUACAUAAGAUCAACCUUUCCACCGUACGUCAGCUACAUCAUGCCUGCCUCUUUUCUUUCUUCAAACAUUGAUUCAUCGUAUCCUUACUUCUUGUGGCCAGUCGACGGGAUUUGGAAAUAUAGCAUGCUUAGUUUGCGUCAAUUUCAAUAGAGAUUCAACACAAUCCAAUCCAUCAUGUUAAAUUCAGAUAAUUUGGACCCCAAAUAGAAUUAUAACUAAAGGAAAUCUGAAGGCAAAGGUAUAGCAGGUUGAUGAAUUGUAUAAGCUCAACUCAAUGUCGAGUGAGUAUUCAUUCACUUCUUUAUAUAGAGUUACAAAAGAUAAGGUUGUUACACUUGAUAAACAUUUGAAUCAGAAAAAUAAAUACAAACAGGUUGAAUCAGAUACAAACUGACACGCCCCGACCCUGAUAUUCCCCGAAUACCAGGACCGACACGUGCUGGCCGACACCCGGGGGUGACGAAAGCCAUUAAUUGAUACAAAAGCUAAGAAUAAGAAAUAAAUACAGGUUAUGAAUUUAAAAACAAUGAAUUAACAAUUUAGGAACGUGUUCAGAGCAUACAACUAAACCUAGUCACUAACAAGAAUUAAGAUAAGAUUAAAUGAACAAAGGAGUGGGUCCUACCCCGAGAGGACUCGAAGAUGCCGCUGCGGAAGUACCUUAAUGCCAGGAUUCUAUGCCUCGUUUCUAAGACCUGAAUGGGGGCGCAAAACAAGGGUGAGUGGACCAAGUUUAUAUACAUACAUAGUACGAAAACAGUUAUGAACAUACUAACCCCCACAGUUUAAUAAUGAAAACUACUAGAAUAAUAAGUGAUAAGCUUUUCAGAAACCUUUAGCAUGCCAUAAAACAAUUCAUAUAUCCAUCUGCAAAUCAAUCUCAGAAAAUCAUAUCAGAAAUUAUCUCAGCAAUCAUGUCAGGAAGCAUAACACAAGUUGUGCUGCUAGUGAGUGCACUGAAUAACAAUACUCCCGGCCCAAUGCCUGCACCUCAGUCUCUGUGCCCGUAGCCAGAGAUAUCUCCCUCCCGGCCCAAUGCCUGUCUCCGUGUCCCUCAGCCUUUCGCUAGGGAUUAUUUCUCCCGGCCCCAAUGCCAACACCAGAUCCUCGCCCCAGGCGGCAUAGUGUUCACUAGGUACGCACAAAACAUAAUUCAUCUCUAAAAUACAACUUCGUAGCAUAAAUUCAUCGAUCCUCUAUACUACGAAGAGGUGUUCGAAAGUCAUUUGAAACACAUUCUUAGCAUCCUAUCGUCAUCGAUCAGAUAGUCUACUAGAAUGAGGGUUCUAUAGAAAAUACAAUAUAAUGAAAAUAAUUCAAAACAUAUAUAUAAUCACGUAUAAUCAAAUCAUCAUGCUUCCUGUAAAGUAUUUCUCAAAUCAAUAAUUCUGCAAGGCAUGCUAUUAAAUUAUGCAUUUCUAUCAAUAAAACAUGCAAUUUUCGAAGGUGGUCCACUCACAGAUACUCCGAAGCAGCAGAAUUGUGUGCAAAAAGAUUAAGGAAGUCUCCACUAGCAACUUCACCUAAGCACGAAAAUGUACAAUUUAAUAAACUACCCAAAAGAUAGAAUUUUAGGAAAUGGAAAUGGGUUUUGGGUUUGGGUAGGUUAGGAACAAGAGGGAGUUUUAGGCUUAAGCCUAAACCCACCCUUAUACACACACGGCACACACACCACACAUUCACACACAUACCUACACCACACAUACUCCCAGAGCUGCACCGCACAACGCACACACUGUACACUUCAUAUAGUACACAAACAUACACAACACACACGUGCACCAUACACCAACAUGCCAAACACACCCACAGACAGCAUGCACAUAUAUAUAUAUAUAUAUAUAUAUACAAAUAUACACACAGAGGCAACAUGCAUAUAUAUAUAUAUAUAGAUACAUACAUAUAAACACACACGCAUGCACAGCAUGCAUAUAUAUAUAUAAGCACACACACGCACAGCAAGCAUACUUACACACACACACACACACGGUUCACGCACACACACUUGCACAACGUACACACUGCACAAACACACACUCACGAACUCGCCGGAGUUCGUCGUCGGAACCGGACAUGCAUGCACAAGGGAUGGUAAGAGUUAGGGCUUGAAUAAGGGGUUCUAAAACUUCACAAAUAUACCUAAGAACUCACCUGGACGCACUGCAGCAGGUUUUGGGAAGAGAUGGACCUCGAACUCGUCGGAGUUCGUCGUCGGAGCUAGAUUAUUAGCACAGAGAAAAACUGAGAUCAAAACCCUUGAGUUUUGUCAUAAACUCAUCAUGCACAACCCAGAAAUUUGAAGAAGGAACACAAUCCUCACCUGGGUUCGCGUGUUAGAGCUUUGAAGCUCUCGGCUUCAAUGGCAGAAAAGUCCACAGUGCUCUGAUGGCGCAUGCAAGGGUAUCGUUGAGUUCGUUAAGUCUCAAGGAUCCCAAAUAUAUGGUUUUGGGGUUUGAUUUGUGAGGGAAGUGAGGUGAAAGCUAGAGAGAAGCUCUCGGAGCUUAGAGAGUGUGAGAAAGAGAGAGAAGAAACCGAAAGAAAGAGAGCACUGAGAUUCUCAGAUGUGUUUCGGGCAGAGAUGAAAGGAAAGAGGGAUCUGAGAGCUGCCACAUGGCAGUUUAAGAUCAAUAGCCUUUCUAGAUCAAGGGUUAGGAUUAAAAGAGAAUAAGGGACUAAAUUGAUAGAUAACAAAUAUGUUCUAGGGGAAAAUAGAAAUAGAAUGAAAAAUGGGGGUGGGGUAUAACACAAACAUAUUUGAGAGAGUUGUGCGGAUAAUGGACUGUGUUGUUAUGAUCCUUUCUGUUGCAGAUUGCAGCGGGAAGGUUGUGGUUGAAUUGGUGGUGCUGACUUGGACCUUUCUUUAGGGUUUGGAGAUUUAUCUGAACUAGGUUUGUCAAUAACCACCUUUUAAAUUUGCUAUAAUUAUAACCAAAAAUUGAUAUAGAAGUUAACAUUAAGGGGGCGUUUGUUGUACCGGACUGUCUUAGACUGGACUAGCUUCAAGGACUAAGCUGGACUGGCUUAGACUAGACUAAGCUGGAUUAACUUAGUGAAGCGUUUGGUGCAGUGUCGGACUAAAAAACAGGAUAAUUAACAAAACUGAAAAAUUAUAUUAUUUUAAAGCAUAUCUAGAAUAUUUUAUAUUAAUUCUUCCUCUCUCUUUUUUUCUUCUAGAAACCCUUUUUCUAGAAUGCUCCAUCUUCUCUGCCUCACCACUCCCCCUUUUUUCUCCAUCCGUCUCAAUCCUCUCUGCCUAUUGAUUGUUUCCUUCAGCCAUCUAUUGCUUUCAUGGAAUCCCGUUUCCAAAAAAAUCAACCAAUGAAACACCUUUCAAAAUCCCAUCUCCUUUCAUGCAAUUCCCCAGUUCUUACUAAUUACCAUUCCAUUUUCUUUUGUUUUCUCUUUCAAUUUUCUAGCCAACCAAACACCUUUCAAAAUCCCUAAUUCCAAAUAAUUGCUCACCUUGUCUGGCGUACCAGAUUCAGAUUAUGGUCCACUGAAAACAAGAGUCAAAAAUUGAAUUCCCACAACAGAACGUGACUGGUGGGGAAAGAAUCAACGGAAGCAGGGUGGUUGGUAAGUGAAAAUUAAGGGUGUUUCUAGGAGAGAGCGAUGUAUGUAUGUGUGCGAUCUGAGAUACCAAAAGACCCAGAUCGUGGAAGACCCCAAAUCACCGAACCCAGAUGAAAAAAAUCCUUAUUUUCGAGGAUUGAGAUCUUGUAAGUUGGAAUGAUGCACAAGGUUUGGAUGAGGAAGAAGAUGAAAAUGGUUGUGGGAGCGAAGAAGAAGAAGCAGGGGCGAAACGAAAGAGGCUGAGCGGAGAUGGUCUUAGCGAGCCCCGUGGUUUGUGGAGGGUCUCGCUAAGAACUUCUAGUGAGGCUUCUAAUCCACGCGAGUCCCCUUUAGUCCCAUUUAACUUAGUCCCAAUACAAACCAAACAUAGGACUGUAGUCCAGUCUAGUCCAGUCCUAGUUAAUGAGGCCAAACAAACGCCCCCUAAAGGUCUUCUGCAAGAACCAACAAGCAAAAUUAAAACGAACAUCGGGUGUCUACAUCUUAGUGACACUUAUAAGCUUCUUGUUGUUAGUAAAGGAAGGCAUUUUUCUGGUGUGGUUGCAGAAAAAUGGAUUGGGAAGGACUCUUCGAAAGUUGGGGAAGAUUUGAAGGUCUUGCUGUCACAGUCUGCUACUCGAGGGCUUGAGCAAUCACCAAGCGCUUUGUAUGAGGGGUUGGAGGAAGAAAGAAAUGCUUCUACAAUCGCUUCAGAUCAAACAAUGGCCAUGAUUACAAAACUGCAAGAGAAGAAGGCAGUCCUGUUGUGCCUUGGCCCGUUCAUUAGUGCGGAAACGAGAUUCAGAUUACAACCACACCUAAAAUCACACCCAGUUAAACAGAAUAAAAUACAAGAAAUAAAGACAACGAGAAAUUUACGAGGUUCGGCAAAAACCUGCCUACGUCCUCAGAGAGAUAUUGCUCUUCACUAUGAGAAAAACAGUACAAGUUACACAUAAGUUAAAUCGACAUAACCCAAUCCCAUAUCCCUUGUACACCCACUCACAGAAUUUUCCCAAGAGCCUCACUCUACCCCAAGAGUUCUUUCACUAGAGACCUUUCACUCUAGCUCUCUUGAUUUUUCUCACCCGUGCCCAUACUUUCCCAUGGGAGAGCCGAAUGCUCUCCCCCUUGGAUGCUCUCUCAUGCCCUCUCAAGAGAGAGCCGAAUGCUCUCUCUCUCUCUCUCCUUCUCCACUUCGGCUCCUUGCAAUUAAAUGGACAGAAAAGUGAGUUAACUUCUCCUUUUUUUCAUAGACACAAUGAUGAUCCAUCAUGCUCCCUUUUCUCAAAACCCAAAACCACUUUCGGCAUGCAAAUGGGAAAUGAAUAAAAAAUGCCAAAACAAAAGGAAUCCCAUGAAACAUCAUCAUUGUCUUCCACUAUUAGCCAAAAUGAGAUAUGGACAUAUUUGGCCACUAUUCCGAAAGCAUAACACACAAAGUCACUUAAUUGUUAACAGCUCAAAAUAUGAGCCAAUCACAACAAUCUCCACCUUGGCGAAUACACCAUGCAAAAAUCCUUGCACCCAUCACCAAAGUCCAUUGGCCUUACGUACCAGCAUGCACACUCUGAAUCCACCUCAUUGGUCCUGUUCCGAUUCAGUCACUGCCAAUGCAUGUGAAGCUGCUGCAAGCUAAAAAUCACAAUUUAGCUUCAGACAGGAUCUCGACACAUCCUCGUCUCCUCCAACAGUUUUUUUUUCCCCUUCUUUAUUGUCUGCAACUUGGAAACUCGUCAGUGCACCCGUUUCCAGCAACAACCCAUCGAGCCAGACAAAAUUCCCCACACUUCUCUUCCUUCAGGACCAUCUCAUCACCUGUGAAUCCCUUAGCUCCACCUGCUGCAAAUCCCUUGCAACACUCGAGACUAAACAUCACCAAGAGAAGUGUUGCUUCGAGUACCUAGAGGGCAUACUCGAAGUCUUCCACCACAAACUUGCUACAACUCGGUCUAGCACCUGUAGCACUGUGGACCCUUGCCUCCGGAACCGGAUCUGAACCUGCUGUCUCUCUCAGAUCCUCUUUCCAAUUUUCUUCCACGAUUCCAACCUUUAAUAACUUAAGGAGUCUUGUGCCCACCAUUAUCCAUGGUCUCCUUUGUGUAUCAUUCCACACCAAAGAAGCUUGCACCUGCUCCAAACUUACUGUAACUUUCCAUGCAGUAAAGUUUCACAAGGUUAUAAGACAAAUCUGAAAGUGAGGUAAGAAGAAAGAGGCCUUUGUCUUCUUCCUCAACAUCAACUUUCGUAGUUGAUCUAAGCAUCCCUGAACACGGCUUCCAUUUCUUCAGGCUUCCAUUACUCUCCAUUACCAAGAGUAAAAUUGCCUCUCCCUUUAAACUGCUCAACUGAAAAUUCCAUGGUGAACAACAAAUCUGGACCUCCAACGAACCAAGCUUCCAACGAGCUCUGAUACCAAUUGUUGUGCCUUGGCCCGUUCAUUAGUGCGGAAACGAGAUUCAGAUUACAACCACACCUAAAAUCACACCCAGUUAAACAGAAUAAAAUACAAGAAAUAAAGACAACGAGAAAUUUACGAGGUUCGGCAAAAACCUGCCUACGUCCUCAGAGAGAUAUUGCUCUUCACUAUGAGAAAAACAGUACAAGUUACACAUAAGUUAAAUCGACAUAACCCAAUCCCAUAUCCCUUGUACACCCACUCACAGAAUUUUCCCAAGAGCCUCACUCUACCCCAAGAGUUCUUUCACUAGAGACCUUUCACUCUAGCUCUCUUGAUUUUUCUCACCCGUGCCCAUACUUUCCCAUGGGAGAGCCGAAUGCUCUCCCCCUUGGAUGCUCUCUCAUGCCCUCUCAAGAGAGAGCCGAAUGCUCUCUCUCUCUCUCUCCUUCUCCACUUCGGCUCCUUGCAAUUAAAUGGACAGAAAAGUGAGUUAACUUCUCCUUUUUUUCAUAGACACAAUGAUGAUCCAUCAUGCUCCCUUUUCUCAAAACCCAAAACCACUUUCGGCAUGCAAAUGGGAAAUGAAUAAAAAAUGCCAAAACAAAAGGAAUCCCAUGAAACAUCAUCAUUGUCUUCCACUAUUAGCCAAAAUGAGAUAUGGACAUAUUUGGCCACUAUUCCGAAAGCAUAACACACAAAGUCACUUAAUUGUUAACAGCUCAAAAUAUGAGCCAAUCACAACAAGUCCUCCAUAUGGAAGCACUCCAGCAACUAAGAAUGAUGGAAGAGCAAGCUGAGUACGAUAAUGAAGCGCUGCAAAAGACAGACAACUUCUUGUCGAGAAGGAGAAGGAAAUACAAGAUUUAGAAGCAGAGCAGAAGGCACUCCAUGCAUACUGAGAGUUUCUUGAACACACGAUUAACCCGAUUCUCAUUUCUCUUCAAUAUUUAGCAUACCCUAGACAGAAUUGCACCGUUACAGUUUGAAGUUUGCUUUCUAAGUAUUCUUCUCUCUAACAUUUGCUGAAAUUGGUAUUCUGUCAAGUUUUCUGUUUUGAUAUCAAUUGUGAAGAAUGAAAUUCCAAAACAUUUUAUCAUACUUGCUUAGGCUAUGUGUUCCUCAACAAGCAUGCAAGCCAAGCUAAGGUAAGCUACCAAUGUUAUGUGAGACCUACUUCAUACAAGACAACGAGAUGACAGCAAGAGGAGAAUGCACGAGAGAAAAACUUGAAACCGAAAACAACUUCAAAUGUUUUUCGAUUUUGAUUUCUAGUUCUCAUGCACUGUACCAUUUUGUCGUAUACAUUUCUUCCACCAUCCUUCCUCCACUCAUCUUCAUACUUCAUUUUUUAUUUUUGUCUUCAAGUAGGCAUUCUACGGCUAAUGUGUUGGAAAAAGUUAUGAAAAUUUGCUAUAUAUUUUAUUAUAAAUUAUUAAAUAAUACACAAUAAAAUCUCUAUAAAUGCAAGAAGAACAAGGAAUGGAAGAACCUUAAGAGAUUGAGGGUAGAAUUUGAUUCUAUAACCUUAAGACAAGAUUGCCCCUCAGUGGUGCCUCAAGGUUUGCGUUGGCAAAUGUCUCUCAGGAUACAAUGAUCUUUCUCUUUGCGGAAGUAGCACUCGAAUCCACAAAGAACAGCGAACCAAAAGUGUUUAAAACUCUCUCUUUGUUGAACACUAAACUACUCUAAUUUCUAUAUGAUUUCUGAAUGCAAAGCAUAUUUAAAAUGCUUGACUUGGUGGUCUAUUUAUAGGCUUUGGCAUGCCCCUUUUCCAAAGGUUGUAUCUGCUUCCAAAAGGCAAAGGACGCAACCCUUAUUCAAGAUUACAUCUGCAACCGAAACACAAGGGUUGCGUUUGAUUUCUCAUAAGACAAAGAUGCAACCUUUUCCAAAGUUGCAUCUGUUUUCAAACUGACAAAGGUUGUGACCUUUGUUCAAACAUGCAUAACCCUUGAAAACUGCCGGUCAAACCCAUCCAUGACUAUUUUAAUUUCCAUUUUAAUUUCCAUUCACUUGAACAUUAAAAUUUAAAUAUUAAUAAUACUAAUAUUUAAAUAUUAAAUUUCUAACAUAAUGAAGAAAAAACUGUAAACAGUAAACUAAAAAAUGCACAUAGAAACCUAAUAGUAAGCCAACAAAAAUGAAUUCAGCCGUACAUUCUAUUAUUCUUGAAUCUUCAACUUGCCAGGGGUGGUACAAUAUAUAUUUGUUGUACGUUUGUUUAUUUCUCUACUCUUUUUUGUUCCACAUGAAAAUAAAUCUACAUGAAAAUUCAGAGGGAAGAGAAAAUAGGAACACCCGGCAAGGAGGUUCCUGCAUCAACAAUAUAAAUGUUGCCAGAGACAUAUUCAGAAGAGUCAUGUACCAAAUAUCGAACUAGCGAUGUCAAUGCUGGAUCUGAAGUGCCAAAUGUUCUUAAAGGGACAAUUUUCAUAGCCAC
rnacentral:lncRNA from 1 species